UACGGAGGAUGCGAGCGUUAUCCGGAUUUAUUGGGUUUAAAGGGUGCGUAGGCGGACGCUUAAGUCAGCGGUAAAAUUGCGGGGCUCAACCUCGUCGAGCCGUUGAAACUGGGUGCCUUGAGUGGGCGAGAAGUACGCGGAAUGCGUGGUGUAGCGGUGAAAUGCAUAGAUAUCACGCAGAACUCCGAUUGCGAAGGCAGCGUACCGGCGCCCAACUGACGCUGAAGCACGAAAGCGUGGGGAGCAAACAGG
rnacentral:rRNA from 1 species